GCCGAUGUGGCUCAGGGGUUAGAGCGCUGCGCUCAUAACGCAGAGGUCGCGGGUUCAAGAGGGAGCUAACGCUUCCGGCUGUUUGAGAUUCCCGCCAUCGGCA
rnacentral:tRNA from 1 species